UCCUUUAUCUAUUAAUUUUGCCCAUACCUUUUUCUCUAUUUUCUUCAUUGUUUUGUUCCACUUGCUGGGCUUCUUUUCCUACUGCUCCUCUUCGUCUUCUUUCCUUUCUGUGCAUUUUUUUUUUUAAGUUCUCUUCAAACUUUUUAAUUUGCACUUUCAUGGUUGUUGUUUGCUAAAUCGGAGUGUCAGACUCGAGUAGAUACCGUAAAGAAGCAUAUUCUGGUAAUUAAUUUCAUUUGCUUUUGAUUUCAUGCUGAAGAUUUGAUUUUCGAUAAAAGAAGAAGAGAAGGAUUUAAUUUCAUUUUACUCUUAACGUAAUUGUUUAGUUCAAAUGUUUAUUCAUUUGAUCUUUUUUUUUUUUUUAAUGAAUUGGUGAUUGCGAUUUUGUUAUUUGGGGGGUUUAAUACUUUUGGUGUAGUGUUCUAGAUUGAAAAUGUUAGAAUGGUCUAGAUAAGGAAAGGAAUAUUAGAUAUGUAGAAAUAAAGAUCUUGAAGAUGGAUAGGCCAUGUUAGAUGAUCUGUCUGGGAUGGCAUUCGGGUCACGGCUGCAUUCCUGAUAUACUAUUGAUGGUUAGGGAACUCAUCCCUUUCUCUUUUGGUGGACAAAUGAUGGUUAGGGAACUCUUCCCUUUCUCUUUUGGUGGACAAUGGAUGGUUAAUAAGGAGCUUCUUCCCUUACUCAUUGUAUACUUUCCAUUGACAUAAUGAGAUAUUACUGCAUAUUCAAAAUUAUAGUCUUAAUUAAAUCACUGUCUAUACGUAUAUGUCGUUGCACGUGUGUGCACUGACAUGCCUUAUCUUUGUACAUCUCUCAACAAAUGCAUUCUGACUUUUGAUUAAUCAUCUGCUUAUAUAAAGGCAAAGAUUUACCA